rnacentral:rRNA from 1 species
UAAUACGGAGGGUGCAAGCGUUAAUCGGAAUUACUGGGCGUAAAGCGCGUGUAGGCGGCUACUUAAGUUGGAUGUGAAAUCCUCGGGCUUAACCUGAGAACUGCAUUCGAUACUGGGUAGCUAGAGUUUGAGAGAGGUGGGUGGAAUUUCCGGUGUAGCAGUGAAAUGCGUAGAGAUCGGAAGGAACACCAGUGGCGAAGGCGGCCCACUGGCUCAAAACUGACGCUGAGACGCGAAAGCGUGGGGAGCAAACAGGAUUAGAUACCCUGGUAGUCCACGCCGUAAACGAUGUCUACUAGCCGUUGGGUGCUUUUAAGUACUUAGUGGCGCAGCUAACGCGAUAAGUAGACCGCCUGGGGAGUACGGUCGCAAGAUUAAAACUCAAAUGAAUUGACGGGGGCCCGCACAAGCGGUGGAGCAUGUGGUUUAAUUCGAUGCAACGCGAAGAACCUUACCUACCCUUGACAUGUCCAGAACUUAGCAGAGAUGCUUCGGUGCCUUCGGGAACUGGAACAC